rnacentral:rRNA from 1 species
AUGGUGUCAAUCGAGCCACAAAGGGGAAGUGAGUUGGAGAUGAGAUGGGGACAGAAGGUCCUGCUCGGCUGGUUCCAAGACCGUGAGGGAAAGGACUUCCUGUUGUCCGCCGGAGGGGAAAGAGCAGAGAUCCGAGAGACGAAGCAACCAGAGGAGACGGAAAACACGACCCCUGUCCUAUGUACCGGCCACAUCCCCCACAGCUUCUGCGAGGACCAGAUGCAAGUUUCUUUUAGCAGCUUGGGGUUAUUAAGAAGAGGGUCAGUAUUGCCCAGAACCGCAAGGUACUCUAUACUGUGUUACAAGAUAUCUGGUGAUUUGUGUGUGUUUUCUGCAAGCAUCUAA